rnacentral:rRNA from 1 species
CCUCCCUACGGGACGCAGCAGUGGGGAAUAUUGGGCAAUGGGCGCAAGCCUGACCCAGCAACGCCGCGUGAAGGAAGAAGGCUGUCGGGUUGUAAACUUCUUUUCUGAGGGACGAUAGUGACGGUACCUCAGGAAUAAGCCACGGCUAACUACGUGCCAGCAGCCGCGGUAAUACGUAGGUGGCAAGCGUUAUCCGGAUUUACUGGGUGUAACGGGCGUGUAGGCGGGAUGGUAAGUCAGAUGUGAAAACUAUGGGCUCCACCCA